rnacentral:rRNA from 1 species
AUGGAUCAGUUUCAGGACGGCCACCACGUGCGGCUGCGGAGCCGCGAGCGCGGCAUGUACUUGCACGCCGACGAGGACGGGCAUGGCGUCUUCCUCCACCACCGCCGGGCGUCGAUGAACGCGGCUUGGGUGGUGCACCUGUACCACGGCCACGCGGAGUACGUGCUCCUCCACAGCGCCGCCUACGGCCGCUACCUCGCCGCCACGGAUGCGCCGGCGCCGCUAGGCCACCGCGGGCUCCGCGUCGAGCUGCGGGACUACGCACAGCCGGAGGUGCAGGCCAUCAUGUGGAAGGCCGACGGAGCCGACUCUGGAAACGACGUCCUGCUCUGGCAGUUCACCGGCCGCUGCCUCCGCGCCAACGGGAGGUACCUCAGCUGGAACAAUGGCGUCAGCGCCGAGGACAUCGAGGACACCUACAUCGUCAGCACGAUGAUGCACUGGGUAGUGGAGCCCAUCCCCGCCAUGGAGGACAUGCCCCCCCUUCCACGUCCGACUGGGCUUCUCUUCCCCGGAAUACUCACCGCCCUGUUGCCGUCGCGGCUGAUCGUGUACGUGCGGGCGGGGGCCGACGGGACCCGCAUGAACCACGGCGCGUUGGUGUUCAGGGGCAGGUCCGUGGUCCGCCUUAGGAAGAAGCUGAUGCGCCGGCUGGACGUCUCCGACCUCGUCAUGUGCGUCGAAGCGGGUACUUUCGGGCGGCCUACCCCACUCGUCGUCGACCUGCCCCGCAGCGUCCGGGACCUCCACAUCGUCGUCUUCGCGGCCGGGACGCCAGCCCAUGCGGAGGUGCGGUACCCGGACGUGGAUGCAGUGUAG